rnacentral:rRNA from 1 species
AGUGAACGCUGGCGGUAGGCCUAACACAUGCAAGUCGAACGGCAGCACAUUAAGAGCUUGCUCUUACGGGUGUCGAGUGGCGGACGGGUGAGGAAUACAUCGGAAUCUACUUUUUCGUGGGGGAUAACGUAGGGAAACUUACGCUAAUACCUCAUACGACCUACGGGUGAAAGCAGGGGAUCUUCGGACCUUGCGCGAUUGAAUGAGCCGAUGUCGGAUUAGCUAGUUGGCGGGGUAAAGGCCCACCAAGGCGACGAUCCGUAGCUGGUCUGAGAGGAUGAUCAGCCACACUGGAACUGAGACACGGUCCAGACUCAUACGGGAGGCAGCAGUGGGGAAUAUUGGACAAUGGGCGCAAGCCUGAUCCAGACAUACCGCGUGGGUGAAGAAGGCCUUCGGGUUGUAAAGCCCUUUUGUUGGGAAAGAAAAGCAGCAGGUUAAUACCCAGCUGUUCUGACGGUACCCAAAGAAUAAGCACCGGCUAACUUCGUG